GCAAGAGGGACCUGAAUUUUAAUACAUGUAUGUAAAAACUGUUGCUGACAAAACCUCUGUUAACAUUGAAACCAACUUGCAAUGUUCUAAACUUUAAUUUUAUAAGGUAGCUCCACAGCAUUUGGAUAUGUAUGGACACCAACGUAACCAGGAGCGCAGUUGUGUAAGAAAUUCAAACAAAGUACAGUUUAUAUUUUUUCCCCUCUUUUGUAAACAUUUAUGUUGUCAGCUCUUGGUGACACAAUAAACAUUAAUUUAAUUCAGAAGUGGGAAAAAGUGUUUGCCCCCUCAAAAGAACCCCACAGCAACAUCCAAAAAGCUGCAGUCUUCAUUUGCCUCAGUUAAGGUCAGAGGUCAUGCCUCCACCAUAAGAAAGAGACUGGGCAAAAAUGGCAUGCAUGGCAGAGUUUUAAGAUGAAAACCUUUGCUGAAUAAGAGGAACAUUGAGGCUCUUUUCAAUUUUUCAAGAACACAUGUUGGGCCGAAGAGCGCUAUUCUAACCUCAACAUGGCUAUCUUGUGUUCAAGUUCUGUUCUUGGUUAUUUUGCCUCAUGUCUUUCCCCAUUCUCUAUGCUGUUUUCCAAAAGAAGGAACACAUCUGAUUCCUAAGAAUGGAAAGAUGAGCCAAAGUUUAAUUCUUUGGAAUGUGUGUGCCUGCCAUGACAGCUAGCAUAAAAGACCUGGAAGAUUUGCUGUGAUAACUGGAACCAUGAACUCUGCUGUCUACCAUAAAAUUGUGAAGAAGAACAUCCGUCCAUUGUUUUAUGACCUUAUAAUGAAACAAACUUGGGCUCUGCAGCAAUGAUCCAAAACACACCAGCAAGUCCACCUCUGAAUGGCCAAAGAAAAACAAAUCGAAGACUUUGUAGAGGCCCAGUCAAAGUCCUGACCUUAAUCCUGAGAUGCUGUGGCAUGACCUUUAAAAGGACCAUUCUUGUUCAAAAACUGUCCAAUGUGGCUGAUUUACAGCAAUUCCACAAAGAUGAGUGCCUUGCAAAAUUAUUCAAACUAUUUGCUAUUUUUCUAACAAACUUUAGAUUUUUUGUGAUUGCCAUUAAAAUGUGCAUAAUUGUAGAGAGAAAAUGCUAUGUAAAAUGUUUUCAAACUUUUUAACAAACACAAAUGUUAACUAGAAAUGUUAAUUUCCUAUGAAAAUGCAAGUGUGAAUGCUCAAUGCUUGAAUGCUUUUGGUGAAAAUGGCAAAAGUGUUUGAAGCCGACUACCGAAGACUUGCAGAAAGGUAAGAAAUAGUCAAUUCCGUGUGAAAAACCCAAGUAAAAGACAAAAUUAGCAAAAAAGUUAAAACUUAAUUUGGCUAGGUCACUAGCAUCUAGCCAAAAUUAACUAGAUCCUAAUGAUAGCAUUUAGGAUACCACUAACAUGCUGGGUUACAGUGAUAUAUUCCAUGCAAUGUAAAAAAAAAAAACCCUGAAAAAAACUGAUGUAAAACCUAAAAUUUGAAAAGGACAGAAAUGUUCCCCUAUUCCUUUUGAUAAAAACGGUGGGUGAAUAAAAUCCAUGCCUUUUAUGGUUCCUUACCUUUAAUUUUUUGGAGGCAUCGUUUAUCAUGGUGACUACAAAAAAAUAUGCCACAUGCAGUGCAAAAAAAGCAAUGUCAAAAGCUCAAAUUAUUCCCAGGUGUUAAACAGCAUAAAAGCUGUUUAACUGCCUUACUUCAAAAUGGCCACUGCUUUGUGUCCUCCGUGACAGCUCUGGAACUGGAUGAUUGAUUGCCAUUAAUAGGCAGGAUCUAAAACAUCCACUGUGAAACACAAUGGACAUUUUAUAUUGUAAUUCUCAGUUCUGCCACAGGAUGGGGCGGUUUCCCCCAUGGGGUGAAAAAUUCAUAAAAAGCUGAAUAUUAUAAAAAGUAUGAAGGUUAUGAAUACCAAGAGAUAUAGCCGGCAUUAGGAGAUCAAACUGAAUAGUACAAAAGUUGAAUGGUGAAAAUAGCACAAAGUAUGCAGGAGAAGAAGUGCGG